AAUGAUCACUUUUUCCCUCCCCCUCCCCCCCCGGUGGAGUGUGGGGAAUGGAGCAGGGGGCAGAAGGGUGUGUCGGAGCACAGAUGGACUCUAUUUUGAUUAUGGAGCGUUUGUUGUUAUGGGAGACAGAAGGAGGGGAGGGGCCACGUGGUGCUGUGUCUAUAUAAGACUUGCACUUAAACUCCAAAGAGCCUGGUCAUCCCAUGGCCCGGGCUCGUCCAGACACUGACAAACUUGACCAACCCUGCCUUGUUACUCCAGCUUCCACUGCUGAGAGCUCUCACUGGAAUACUUGGAAGACUUGAGAUUACCUGGCCUUCAACUUUUGGAUUAACAUACUUCUUUUGUUGUUGCAACUAUUCACCAUUAUUUCGAUGUUUGCCAUCAUUGUAACCUGCAAUGUUCUGAUCCCAACAAAGAGGCGAUGCUGAAGACAGAGGGGCUGUUGCGUAGUUUGGAUUUUUAACCUGAUCUUUCACAAUUCUGUGAAAAGAUGGCUACUGACCUGAUAUUAUCAAUUAAUUUAAGCCUGCGCAUGUCUGUAUGUGUUCAUGUGUACUUGCACUGUUAAACUGGUGUGCUGGUGCGGGUGGAUGUGAUGUAACUUCACAGUGGAUGUUUUCCAGAGGUAUGGCCUGUGUCCAGUGUAUCAUGGGAUUUAGCCAUGCCUCUCUGCUUCCUGUGUUUGUUUGUGUGCGUGUUUGUGGGUUGGUUUGUGUCUGUGACUAGGUGUGAACGUGCGCUUGCAUACUUUGCAUAGAAAAAGACAGCAACCUCAUGUUGCAAGAGCUGGUAAUCUACACAGUGUGUUUGACGCGUGUGUGAUGUGUGUUGACAUGUCAGCGAGGGAACAGAGGGAGUAUAUUUAGAGUUGUCAGUCAAAUUGCUAUUUAAAGAAACGGAAAAGGCAGGGAAAGUGAGUUGAUGUCAGAUAAUGACAUGAAACCACACAGUGAAGAGCUCUAUUCUGCAGUUUAAGCGUGGCAUCCAGGCCCAAACAUCGGGCUGUGGGUGUGCAUGUGUGUGCUGUGCGUGGGUAUGUGUCUGCAUAUUUUUUCCUCCAUAUGGGUGUGAUUUGGUCAUUUCUUAUUCCAUGCUUGCGGACUAACACACUUCUGAUUUUCUUCUACCCUACUUUGUGGUUUUCUUGUUUGUGUGGACUAAGUGUACUUUGGCUGGGGCCAAAACCUGGUCUGUUUUUUUCCCCCGCCCAGCCAUCAAAUGUAGCAUUCUUUCAAUCUAUCCCUCUCACUGUUUUCAGAUAUGCGACAUAUUGUCAUUUAUUUGUUUAAUGGCUAGAUGCCGUAAACAAACUGUAACAGAUUUGGUCAUCUUGUCUGUGUUUGGCCACUCAACCUGUUCAGUGUAGGAGUGCCUGCUUAAAACUGUCCCUUUAAUACCAAAUGUAAAUAUGUCCAAAGGUUGUGUGGAUUGUUGACUGAGGAGGUACAAAGGUGAACUGAGGACAGAGCUGAAGCAGUCUGAAGUUGAUGUCAUCUGCAGUCGCUGGUCUGUGCUUUACUGGACUGUUUUAGAGGCCGUGCCUGGGCCCUGGCAAGCAGAGCUGUGGUUUGGCUGUCCUUAUAGGUGCCUUACUGACACUACUGGGGUUAUAGCGCUACCUACUGGGAAUUCCUGGCUGUGCUGCUUUGAAGUGAGGCCGCUCUUGUCUGAUAAACAGAGAGCGGAACAGGUGUUGGAGCUGGCUGACUCAUCCGUUCAGCAUGUGCUAUUUGCAUUCAUUACCGUAGUCAGUGCUCAAACCAUAAAGAAACACAUUACACCUAAUAAAAUGAAAGAAAGUGAAAAGCAA